rnacentral:misc_RNA from 1 species
AAAACCCUCAAAAUCUAGCAUUUUUUCUAACACAUUUCUCAGCAAAAAUGGGGAAAAAGCAGCAAAAAAAGGUCCAAAAUCAAGAAGAAUUGUUGAAAACAUUGGGAGAUUUCACAAGCAAAGAGAAUUGGGACAGCUUUUUCACUAUCAGAGGUUCAGAUGAUGCUUUUGAAUGGUAUGCAGAGUGGUCUCAGCUCAAAGAACCACUUCUCUCUAAUCUCACAAUUCCAUCAUCAAACGACGCCGUUUCUGCCAAAGAACUGCAAAUUCUUGUUCCGGGUUGUGGCAAUUCGAAGCUCUCUGAG